GGUCCUAUAGUUUAACUGGAUAGAAUGAGAGAUUCCGGUUCUCUUGGUGGGGGUUCGAGUCCUCCUAGGAUCA
rnacentral:tRNA from 1 species